ensembl:lncRNA
UGUGUAUUUUGGGACCUUGUGUGUGUACUCAGGCCUCAGGGUUGUUGGAAGUUGGUGGUGUUGACAGAGCUAUGGCCUCGGGGGAGCACUUGGAGGUCUGAGGGCUACAGGGGGUCAGUGCCGAGCGACGGGGGUCCUGCCGAGAGGGGUGGAGGCCUCUUCAUGGACCCAGCAUGCAGUUCCAUUCCCAGCACCACCUUCAGGCCUGUGGCCACUCCACAGGGGAGCAAAUUUGACUCCCGGCCCUCAUCUACUGGCCCAUGAAACAGAUGUGAUCAAGAACUUGCGAAUGCCUUGGUGGAAGAUUGAGGGAACGUCUCACAGCAAGAACUUACACAUCUGGUGCGGUCCAUGAGGAUGAGAUGUACUGUAGGACUUAAAGCAGCUGGAGGACACCAGAUACUGACUGUUACUUUUAAUAUUGACCCCCCCCUUGUUCAGGGACUCAUUCCAUUUCUGUU